UUUAACUUUUCUUGUGAUCUAUAUGAUCUAAGCAGUAAUAUUCUUCUGCUUAUGUAAACACCUAGGUGUACAAUCGUGUCCGUAAGACCAUGUUACUAUUGUUGAUGACAUUCCGGUAACCACCGAUGGACGAGAACUUUGCCUAUUGGUCUGCCUCGUUCAACGAGUAGGAAGAUGGUUCUCUUCGUCCCUCGCCCUUGGUACCAACGUUGUUGCCAACAUAACUGACAAGUUGUCCUCUGACCUGCCUUGCAAUCAUGACCGUGCAAAUGUUAGCACCCUUCCCGCUUUAACCCACAUGGUGGGCCCAUAACCCACAGUUCCACGGGAUCGAAACCUGACUCUCCUGUACAUCCCUAUUUUCCAAAAUUGCUCCUCACACUUGGCUUCGUAUGUAAAUCACGAGCCACCUUCCUAGUAGUCUAUUCUGGUAUCAGACGCAAUACUCAUUCCCAUUGCUUUGAACCCCUUUCGCUCUCUGCUUUCGGCAACGAACGAUUGCCUACCUGGUUGAAGCUUCUUAUUGCACCUCAUUACCUUGCUCUCGAUGAAUUUCUUGAAUUUAAACUCGAGAGAUGCCUCUAUGCCACGUUCACUGAGAGAGCCCCCAGUUACCUAUCUUGUGUUGAGCUCCGUCCUUCCCGUGUCUUUCCCCCUUACUCCACCCCUCAAAUCACCCCUUAAAUCUCGGGGCGAGAUUUCUUGUAGUGGACGAGAUUCGUAACACCCCGAGAAUCAUGCUACAGUAAUCUCUCACUAAUGGUGACAUGUCAUCAAAUUUAUCUAAACCAAAUUGCCACGAUAAAAAUCAAAGCCAAUUUCAAAUUUAUAACAAAGUCAAAUAAAAUAUUUCUUCAAUCUUGAAAACUAAAUUUUUUGCAGUGUUCUAUAAAAUUUCCCUGAUCAAUGUCAUGUUGAAACAAACUUUGUUUGACUCACAAAUAAAUUCCUAGGAAAUUAAUAAGUGGUCCAACGGCGAAUAAAAUAGACUUUUCAAAAUAAACAAUUAUUUAUUUAACUACAAACUGCCUCCAAACUUUGUGUGCUAGCUCCUAAUAAUACACAGUAUUUAUGUAUCAAUUUUUCAUAAAUACCAAAAUUCUUUUAGCAGCUUUAAAAAAAUAGAAAACAGGUGAAGUAAAUAAAACAAUAAAGAAAGAAAAACAAAGAAGGACUAUUAGUACUGGACCCUAGUGCAUUAGUGAAUUAGGCCCAACCCACACCUCUCUCAUCCCCAACCUCCUACUACAGGGAGGUAGGGGAUCGUGGCGUGCAUCUGACCGGCCAUGGCCGCGCCAUGGCGCGUGCCGGCCAUCCCCCGGUCCCCUUGGAGUAUAAGGCCGAGCCCUCCGACCCACCUGACGAAACCUAGCCUCAAAAUCCCCUCUCCCUCGCUCGUUUUCCUCUCCUCGCAACACAACCGAGCGCAACAUCAUCGUCAUCGCGUCGAUCCCGCGGCCACGUGCCUCCCCGCGCCGAACCACCAUGUCCAGGAAGCGCGCCGUCAUCACCUUCGUCGACUACACCAGCAGAUCAGGGCGUAGGCGCUGCAUCGACAACACACAUGUCUUCUUCCUCCGCCACGGUCGCCGGACGACGCCGUUCGAUCCGCACCAUCCAGGCAACCUCCGGCCUCCCCGACCUCGCCUACGUGCUCGCGGCCCGGGAGCGACGCCGACGGAGACGAGGAUGACAAUGCCGUGAUGGAGGUCGAUGGCGCCGAGGUCGAGGAGGCCGCCCAGGACAAGGCCGCUGCCAAGGCGCUCGGGACCAAGAUCAGCUCGGCCUCGGGUGACAUCGAGGCGCUCUUGCUCCCGUGGCUGACCCCUCCCGGGGACCUCGACAAGGGGAGAAGCUGCUCAAUCUAACGAGUUCGGAUGCCCGCCAAGGUGAUGUCUACUACACAACCUUCUUCUUGUAGACGUUGUUGGGCCUCCAAGUGCAGAGGUUUGUAGGACAGUAGCAAAUUUCCCUCAAGUGGAUGACCUAAGGUUUAUCAAUC